UGUGUGAAGUACAAAUUUUGGUAGGCUUUGACACAUGUAUACAUAUCUGAAACCAUCACAUCAAUCAAGAUAUUGAAUAUAUUAGUCCUUUUAAAGUUUUUGUAUGUACCUUUAUAAAGUUUUCCUCCUUAUUUCACCCUCCAUCCUCAUCUCCAGACAAUGCUAAUUUGCAUCAAGUCUUUGUAGUGAUUAGUUUACAUUUUCUGGAAUUUUACAUAAAUGAAAUCAUACAAUAUAUACUCUUAUCUAAGUGUCUUCCUUCACUCAGAAUAAUUAUUUUGAGAUCUAUCCUUAUUAUUGCACCUACCAAUAGUCCACUCCUUUCAUUGCCAAAUAGUAGCUCAUUGCAUGGAAAAUCCUCAACCUGUGCAAUUGCUACUGAUGGACAUUUGAAUGUUUUACAGCUCAGAAGUAUUAGAAAUAAAGCUAUAUGAAUAGUUUUGGUUUUUUUACAGGGUCUUGCUAUGUAGUUCAGGCUGGUCUCUAACUCAUAGUGAUCCUCCUUCUUCAGUCUCCCAAGUGCUGAGAUUACAGCACUUAGAUUAACACCAUGCCUGGCUAGUGCUGUAUAGUAUUUAUGGACAAGUCUUCCUGUGGAUAUAGUUUUCAUUUUUCUUGUGUAAGUACCUAUAAACUGGCCAACUCAGUUUGAUCAAAUUUUAUAUAUAUAUUUAACUUCUUAAGAAACUAUCUAUUGCCUUUCAAAGUGGCAUAUCAUUUUAUAUUUAUAUCAUACUGUAUGAUAGUUCUAGUUGCUCUAUGUCUUCAUCAACACUCUGUAUGGUCAGGUUUUUGAAACAUUAGCCAUUCUAGUAAGUGUGAGGUUGUGUUUCAUUGUGGUUUUAAUUUGCAUUUUCCUAAUGACUAAUGGUAUUGAACAUCUUUUCAUGUAUUUUCUUGACAUCUUUUGUAGUGACAUACCUGUAACUACAGGUUAUGGGUUUUUGUACUUUUUUUUUUCUCACAGAGAUUCUAUAGUGAUGAGAGUGUUGAUAUACUACAUACAAUGUCUGUGUAUUUCUAAAUUUGUGGCAGAACUACUGGAGGAGACAGCACUAGUAGUUGGAAACAAAUAUCUAUAUUAAGUUAACAGGUAGCUACAUAAGCAAGCUGAUAUUUAGCACACUGAUACUAUUAACAUGUAUUCAAAUUGGCAGAAAUGAUGGUGAGUGAGGGAAAUAAUCAGUGCAUAACAAGGGGACAAUGGGGAAGGGUGAAAGAACCCAGGUAGGAGAAUAAAAAUUUUGCCACAUCCAAAAUCUCUCUUCCCAUAUUAUCCAUAUCAUGCCCAACCCUUCACAAAGAUUCUCCAUGUCCUAAUUUUUUUCCAUUAUUAUAAACUUUUUGCUGUUUUAUAACAAAUAUGUUAAUGAGAUGGGUACCUUAGCUCAACAGCAGAAUCUAGCUAUUGACUAUGCUUCAUGGUAAUCUUCCCAAGAACUUUCAAUAGUGGGCCACAUGAUCAGAAACCCAUUUGUUGGAAGAAGAAAGUUUAUGUGGAUGUAUGUUAACAUAUAGCAAAUUUUGUAUUAAAAGAACAAAAACUUCCAGGAAGAUGGCAGAGUGGUAAACAACAACAAAUCAGCCUCUGCAAGAUUCAGAAACCAGACACUGGAAAAUAACAGCUUGGGGAAGACAAGAAGGAAUGAGGUGAAUCCCUGGAACCUAGGAAGGUUCCUAAAGAGAAAUUGAAGAGACAGACCACAACACAGAAAAAGGGUGAAUUGGUCCUGGUUCAUGGAUUGUGAGAAAGGAAAACUGAAUCUACAGAGACACAGUGAAAUCAGGUAACCAUAGAGGUGUUUAGGAAGAAAUGCACCAGUGAAAUGGAGCAGUGGAUGCUGUAUCCUACAACAGCUGACCACCAUGAGGUGAGAAUCCUGCUUUGUCAUGUGUUCCCAUCAUGAGAUGCUGUGCCACCAUAAGCAUAUAGCAACAGGGCCAUGUGACCAUGGGCCAAAAACUAUGAAACUAAGAGUCAAAACAAACCUUUUCUCUUUUUAAGUUGAUUAUCUCAGAUAUUUUGCUCCACUCUGGAAAGAUGAUCAACACAGAUUUUUUUCUUUUUCUUGAACAAGAGAAGGAAUACUCUACAUGUACUUUCAGGAGGAAGAUGGAAUUGUGCCUUCUUUACAAUAAACCUCAUAGGAGGGGAGCUAGACAGAAGCCAAGCCUUUGUAGAAACUUGCUGAUUAUGGAUUCUGGAUAUAUUGAUGUGGGAGAGUUCUUUGUGGAGGACAAGAGGAAUUGGACAAAAUGAUGUUUAAGAAAUCAACAUGGACUCCUUGACUUGAAAACUGACAGAACAGCAGUGUUUUUCUUUGCUUCACAUAAAUUCAAAAAAGUGGAUACUACCUGUGUGAGUAACAUGCCUCAUAGGAAAGUUCUGAAAACCCUAAUUCCUUGCAUUGCUUUGCAGGGGAAUUUAAAUAACACCUGAAAUUUACAGAAAAAAACACAAAGGAGAGUUAGAUACAGCUGUGUGCUUAAAAAGUGAUAAAUGAUCUUGCUGUCUCUCAAAUACAAGCAUUUUAAUUGUGCAUUCUUUUGUUCUUUGAAAAAAAUUUUGAUUACUACACUGAAACUGUAGAAUACAGACUUGAUAAGAUCAAAGUAAUUUACCUUAGAUACUCCUCAUCUGGGAGAAUUUAAUUGAUAACCUAACUUGGGUGGAGAUGCAUUCUAAUUGGAAUUGAUUACUGUGGGAUUUUUAUAUAUACUAUGAUGCACUGUGAGUUAUAGCACCACAAGAUAUAAAAUUGGAUAAAAUUUUGACUGGUAUGAACCACUUGGGUAUUUUUAUCCCAACUACAACAGCAUUUGCUGAGAAAUGCUCAUUAAUUGGAACCAUUUUCUAGGUUGGAUAUUAUUUGGAAAACAUGGGACUAUGUCCAUGGUGGUUGCACAUUUAAUAGAACUAGAAGCAAAAACACACAAAUGGUUAAUAUCUUAGGACUGCAAUGGCAAUAGGUUGUGGCUUGCAUGUCACCCAUAACUGAAUUGCAGCACUUCUGUGACUCUUCACUCUUCACUGGAUGGGAGUUUUUAGCUUAGAAUUUAACAAGUUUUUCUGGCCUUUUUCCUAGCAAUCUACUAUGACAGCCAACCUGACUCAAUGCCAUUUUGUAUCUGUGCUUGCACAAAGUGCUUGCACUUAAAAAAAAGCACCCAAAACCCCCACAUCCUGCUUGGCAGUAAACUUGCUGCAGUUAUAGGAUGUUUUAUAGCUCACCUAGUGUGUGUCAAACUUCCUUAUACCCCCCACUAAUCUGGAAUGGUUCUGCUUCUGUAAGAUUCCUCUUGCUCUCCCCUGAGCCCUCCCCAACUGAAAGCAUGAUUUAAAUGGAGAAAUCAAACUACUUCCCAUUGCCAAGGAAACUUUCUGGGUGCUAGUCCCUCUUGGCCACUGGCUAUAGUAAAUGGGCUUGAAUCUGGCACAGUGUGGUGCAUCUCUAUUGUUCAAACUCACUCGUCCAUAAUAGCUGGAGGCCCCAGUGAGAUGGCCACAAUGGGUGGAAUGGCCUUGCUGUGAUCCCUCCCAUCUGUGGCUGCAAACUAUAGGGGAGAUGCCCCCUGAGACGUUCCAGGCCCCUAUAGUCUCACUGCCAACCCUGAAGGGACUGCAGAGAUGCCUGAGAUGCCCUCCAAAUUUUCUGAAGCCCAUAUUUUCUGGUAAGGAUCCUUCAGGUUCGGGUGGGGAACAGCAGUCCUUGAUGAAGGCAUUUCCCAGGGCCCCUCCAUAAGGUCAGGACACUGACUGAGGUGGCCCCCUGGUCUGGUCUGGCUGUAAGCCAGCCAAUCUGGUAAAUCUCCGGGGAUAGGGUUGGAAUGUCUUUAACCUCUGAAUGAUUGUGUAUGAAUGAAUGAAUGACUGGCAAUAAGCAGUGGAAACAAUAGACUGUUCCAUCCGUGCCCCACACAAAGAGGGGGAUUCCUCCUUGGAAUUAUGGGACUUGAUUGGGGUGGUACUGUGGUUCCAUGGACACAUCUAAGAAAGACCAAGUGGGUGCUCUUGCAAUGAGAUAAAUACACCCUAAAGCCUGGAUGGUCCUUAAAGUGGCUGAGAGGCCCAUGGUUAGUCAACCAACUAAGUGGUUCCUCCCACAGAGGAACACCCCCUCCCUUUGUCUGUCACGAUAUCUUUCAAGGGUGCACCACAUAAACACUAAGGCCUCUUUCUCUAUGUCUGGAGCUCUUAUCUUUUUAUGUGUUCCUGGACCUCCUAAAAUUGGAUAUCUCCUGCCUGCCCUAAGUCUCUCCACCAUGGGGUCGUCAUCUUCACAACCUGUUACACCCCUGGUCUGCAUGCUUAGAAAUUUUUCCUUGGAAUUUUCUGAUGAUUGUGGAGUGAAAUCAUCAAAGGACAAACUCCACACUUCUUAUGAGGUUGAGUGGCCCUCUUUUGGUGUGGGCUGGCCCUCUGAGGGCUCCCUGAACCCUGCCUUCAUUCAAGCAGUUUGGAAGGUUGUUUAGGCCUGUGCUGCAAAAGCCUAUUAAAAGCUGCUUAUUUCCAAAAACUGUUCUCUCCCUUGUAGGUGAACUCUGAAGAGACAGAAACUGGUUCUGCAGCAGUCAGAUGCUGAGGAAGUCCUCCCCUGUCCCCCUCUGUAUAACCGUAGUUCACCUCCUCUCCUGUCCAUCAUGACCCAUCUGGCCCCAGCUCCCUCAUUUUUUCCUUUAUGUCCCUUGCUACCUCUCCCUCCAUAUGAGAGCAUCUCCAAUCCCAGCAAGAGGUCACCACCUUGGAAAGAUGCAGUCCAGAGAUUCUCUUGCCUUUGAGGAGGCACCUCCUCCUGAUGGAGCAGGACUGGGAAACUGCCUGUUCCUGGUAUAUGUUCUCUUUUCCACCUGACCUCUACAACUGGAAAACCCAGAAUCCACCAUUCUCUAAGAGGCCCUAGAUUUUGAUUUCCCUGAUAGAGUUGAUCUGUAGGACUCAUCUACUGACCUGGGAUGGCUGUCAGCAGUUAUUGACCCUGUUCACCACUGAGGAAUGGGACAGGAUUAGGUUUGAAGCUAGAAAGCUCUUAUGGGGGGAGAGGCGCUCAAAAGAGGAGGCCCACGAAUUGCUGAGGCAAGGGUUCCAAAUUCUUCAGUGGGAAGGGAGGCUUUACUCACCUUUCACCAAAACUUGUUAAAUGGGAUUUGAACAGAAACUCAGAAACUCAUAAAUCUUUCAAAAACCACUGAAGUGACACAGGGACCAGAGGGGUCUCCCAGUGCAUUCCUGGAGAGACUCAGAGAGGCCUUCCUGGUUUAUAUCCCGUUCAACCCCUCUGCUCCAGAGAACAAUAGAGCUAUAAAUUUGGCUUAUGUUACUCAGUCUGCACCUGAUAUUAGGAGAAAAUUACAAAAAUUGGAGGGAUUCUCAGGAAUGAACACAUCUCAGCUGUUAGAAGUAGCUCAAAAGGUGUUUGACAAUAGGGAUUCAGGAUAACAAAAAUUGGCCAUAGCCAUGGCUGAGCAGUUGGCAAAGAAAGAAGCAAAGAUCUUGGGAGCAGCCAUCAGAGGGGACCCCAUGGAACCCAUCCCUGGGAAGCCCAAAGGGCAGAUGCCUAGAAAGCCAGGAGGACACCUGCCAUUGGACAGAAAUCAGUGUGCCUUUUUCAAGGAGGAAGGACACUAGAAAAAUGAAUACCCCCACAGGCCCUCUGCCAAGGUACUAUCUCUUCCCAGGUCGAGGGAAAAAGAAGAUUCAGACUGAGGAAGUCAGGGCUUCUUCUCUCUUGGUCCCUGGGAGCCCAUGGUAAAUGUUGAAGUAGGGGGCCAAUAAGUUUGUUUUCUGGUGGACACUGGCACCAAGAGGUCAGUAUUAAAAAAAUCUCCUGGGAAAGUUUUCAUCACAAACUGUUCCCAUCCAGGGGGCCACAGGAGCAGUCCAAAACUGCCUGCUCACAAGUGAGUGACUAGUGAGCCUGGGAUAAAAAUAAAUUACUCACUCUUUCUUGGUUAUACUGGACUGCCCAUUCCCUUUGCUGGGAUGAGACCUCAACAAUACCCCAUCUCUCAGAAGGCCAGACAGGGGAUAGCCCCUCACAUUAAGAGGUUGAUGAACUUUGGGAUAUUAACUCCCUGCAAGUCUCCAUGAAACACCCUGUUCCUACUGGUACAGAAACCAGGGACAUCAAAUUACAGGCUGGUUCAGGACUUGAAAGAAGUUAACCAGCAAGUGGUAACUCUGUAUCCUACUGUCCCUAACCCAUAUACCCUCCUAAGUUUGAUGUCUCCUGAGCACCAAGUGUAUACUGUGCUAGAUUUAAAGGAUGCUUCUUUUAGUGUCCCCCUUGCCCUAGCUAGCCAGUCUAUCUUCACUUUGGAGUGGACUGAUCCAGUUUCCAACUACUCCUGCCAGCUCACCUGGGUACCUCAAGGAUUCAAAAAUCCACCCACCCUGUUUGGUGAGGCCCUCCAGAAGGACUUGGUGAGUUUUUGAUCCCACCACCCUAACCUCACCCUGCUUCAAUAUGUGGAUGAUUUGUUAUUAGCUGCUGCUAGCUAUUCGGAAUGCAUGCAGGGGAUGCAAGAGCUUCUUCAGUUACUAAAGGAGUUGGGCUACCAUGUCUUGGCCAAGAAGGCACAACUCUGUGCCCCUAAAGUAUCAUACCUGGGGAAAUCUUGGAAGAAGAGCCUUGUUCCAAGCCAGGAUAAGGGCCAUCCUCCAGAUACCCACAUCAACUACCAAGAAACAGGUAUGAGAAUUCCUAGGUGCAGCUGGAUAUUGUUGCCUAUGGAUACCUGGGUUUGCUGAGAUAGCAUGGCCCAUCCAUUCUGCCACAGGAGAAAACCCCUAGAAUGGGGAAUAGAUAAAGAAGAAACCUUCCAGAAUCUGAAAAGAACUUUGGUAUCAGCUCUGGCUCUGACAUUACCCAAUGUUACUAAGGCUUUUUGUUUAUUCAUCCAUGAAGUAAGGUUGCUAAAGGAGUCCUAAUGGAGUCCUUGGGACCCUUGAAGUGCCCUGUGGCCUAUCUCUCUAAAAGAUUAGAUCCUGUGGCCUCAGGAUAGCCUUCAAGUUUUUGGGCAAUAGCUGCCACAGCUUUAUUGGUCAAAGAGGCUGAUAAGUUGACCCUUGGAUGGGUCCUAGUCCUAACUGCCCCUCAUUCAGUAGAGACUCUGCUUGGGCGGGGGGGUGAAUAGCAAAUGGAUGUCAAAUGCCCAUCUCACUCAGUAUCAAAGCCUGUUGCUUGACCAGCCUCACAUAGUCUUCUCAGCAGGGCAGGACAGGUUCUCAAUCUGGCUAGUGAUGCCAGAUAAUGACCCAGACAUCCCAAUUCAUGACCUUGAGGAGGUGCUGGAUCAGAUCCAGGGGGCCUGAUCGGACUUAACAGACACCCCCUUGGCUUAGGCAGAUGCUACCCUCUUCACAGAUGGAAGCAGCAUGGUGGUAAGAUCUACAAAGAGAAAGGGCUUCUAACAGCUCCAGGAAAGACUUUCAAAAACAAAGAAGAAAUAUUGUCUCUCCUAGAGGUGGUAUGGUUUCCCAAGAAGGUGGCUAUCAUUCAUGUUCAGGGUCACCAGAAGGACAAAACACCUGAGGCUAAGGGAAAUCAACUUGCAGACCACCAGCCCAGAGGCCACCUAAACCCUUAGUCAUCCUGCCUACCAUGAGUCCUCCUCCCCCUUUGUUCCCAACUAGCCCUACUUACAAUGAACAGGAAGAUAAAGAAGCAAGCCAGCUGCAAGCAAAGAAAGAUCCCCAAGGCUUCUGGAAAUGUCCAGAUGGUUGCAUCUACCUCCCCCAGGCAUUAGGAUGACAGCUCAACCAGCAGCUGCAUUUGGUCAUGCACCUGGGGGGAUCCAAGAUGGGUGAUCUUCUAGCUCCAAGAUACUGCUUUUCAAAGCUGCAAGAGCUGGCCUGCCAGGCCUCUCCUAGGUGCCCAUCCUGUGUACAAGUAAAUCCCUGCCAUGGCCCAUUUGCAUCCCUUGGGAUCAGAUUCUGGGGUAGGAAUCCUGGAGGACACUAGGAAGUGAAUUUUACAGAGAUCAAAACACCAGUGGGUGGCUAUUGCUACCUCCUAAUUUUCAUAGAUACUGUCUCAGGUUGGACAGAGGUCUAUGCUACUUGGCAGGAGACCACCACUGUGGUGGCAAAGAAACUUCUUCAGGAAUUAAUUCCCAGAUUCAGACUACUGGUGUCCAUUGGAUCUGACAAUGGCCCUGCCUUUGUAGCCUCUAUAACUCAGUUAGUCAGUAGGGCACUGGGUAUAAAUUGGAACCUCCACUGUGCCUAAAGACUGCAAAGCUCAGGGCAAGUGGAAUAGAUGAAUCAGACCCUAAAAUCUACUUUGUCUAAAUUGAUAUUGGAAACUGGUGAAGGGUGGGUCAGCCUGCUGCCUUUGGCUGUCCUUAGACUUAGAUGCACCCCUUAUAAAGCAGGUUUUACUACUUAUGAAAUUAUGUUUGGAAGACCUCCUCCUCAAAGUUAAAAGUGAGGUACUAGAUGCCUCACCCCCCAGGGACCAGCAAGUGGAAGGUGAGGACCUUGGCGGCUUGGAGCAGGCUCUGUCCUGCCCACGCCCCACCUCCCAGUGACCAGUUUAGCCACGAAGGUGCCUUCAGCAACCCCCCACCCCCACCCCGUCCUGCCUCUGGCCUCCUGGCUGCGAAGGUACCUACUUCCAUACUACAGAGGCACAGGGGGUCAUAAAGGCUAUUGUCCUGAGCUCCAGAAGAUAGAGCAGAAGUGAACAACAGAAAGAGGACCUCUCUCAGGCCCCUUUAUGAAAACUGAAGCCCACUGGAAAAGUGGAAUCUCUGCAAUAAAGGCACACCAGACCACCAUACUUGAACUAUCAUAGAAACCAGUGAGACAAGGCAUCUCCCAUACACAAGCAAACUACAGCCAUAGGCUUUGAAAGGGACAAGAACAUCUGGAGGAGGAUCCACAAGCAGCUUUUCAAUGAGAGAGGAAAGAAAUAAGCAGAGGUGAAGACAGAAGAGACAGUUCCCCUGACUCUGGUCCAGAAAGGAAUGCUGUGGAAAGUGAAGACUCGGGAGCACAGGCCUGAAGGCACUGGCAUGUUGGUGUGAAUUCCAGCUCUGCUACUUAUUGGUAAGAAGUUACCUCAUCUCUCUACAUCUUUGGUUCCUUGGCUCUGUAACAGAAGUUAAUAAUACCAAUCUCAUGGGGUUACUGAGUAUUACAUGUGUUCAGAAAUAUAAUAAUCCAGAGUAAAAACUAUAUACAUAUAUCUCCCUAUAAUCAAACUCAUGAUAUUUUAGGAGUAUGUCAGUCUAAUGUUCUGAUGGAAAACAGACUUGUACCAAACAAAAGAAUAAAAAGGACAAUGUCAGUAUAAAUCCAGUAAGGUCAAUGAAAAACUAAAUGUUUUCUAUAAGUAUUGAAAGUAAAAGACAAGCCUGGUUUCAGCAACAGAAGCAAAUUAUACUAGGGAACCUCAGAGGUGAAAGAGUCUACUCCAAUCUCUUACCCUAAGUGAGAGAUCUGGAUAGUACCCAAGGAGGGAAAGAAGCAAGGACAGGUUUGAAUAUCAGGGAAUCCUGGGCUUAUUGGUUUAUGAAUUUCUAGGGUACUACUGUCUGGUUGCUUCUCCCUCUGAUCUCCUUGGGUCAGUGGACUUAAUAAAAUCAUGGGCUUGUACAUCCAUGUGGCCUCAUCAGUUCCACAUCACAACUAGAAGAGACCAAAUAUUGAAGUGGGCUGAGCUCAUGCUCCUGGUGUAGUGCCAUUCAGGUGGCUUCCUGCUUGAACUGUCCUCCCUGUCCUUGCUAUUACUGAAUAUAAAGCCAGUAAAUACUCUCUAUAGUAUUGAAAGUAAACCUCUUCCCUAUGAAGAAUGACAAGGUUUGCACACAUAUGGAAGAAAACAGCCCACUUGCCAAUUAUCACAAAGGAAAGGCUGUCCAGAAGCAAGCUAAAUAAAGUCAACAAGAUAAGACAAGCAGCCAGGGAAAUGCCUGGAAAAUAUCUACCAGGAAAAUGCCAGGCACCCACCAAAUGCUAUCAUUACUAAGAUAUGGCAGCCAGGGCAGAAAUGGGAGCACCCAGAAUUGAUAUGAAAUAACCUUUAAUCUCAGGCAGUUUUCCCUACUGGGCACAAUAAAGUCAUUAACAUCUUACACAAAGUUCUUUACUUAAAAAAUAUGGCAACAAGACUGCUGUUUCACUGAUGAUCAGGGAAGGGGAGAGAUCUAGUUCAGAGGACCUACUGUCCUCACCUGCAGUGAUUAUUGCUUAUUGGAGUGAUCAACAGCCCCAAAUCAUUAUAAUUUACAAUAAAAACAUCCAUUUCUCACACAUAGAUCUGUGGAUAGGUGUGGCCCAACUGGAUUCAGAUCCAGAAUGUCGGUGAGAAGCAAAUCACUUGAUGUGCCUCUCCUGCUAGAUCAAAGUGCAGAUAAACAGCCACCUGAGGUGGGCACUCAUGUUGUACAAAAGCCUUACACAGGCCCAAUUAAAACAUGCAAGUACCUUUACACACUUGCUUAAGAAUGCCACAAAUCAAAUUCAUGCACCACCUACUGGUAAAAGCAAUAGGAUAGGGAAAUUCACUCCUUCAACACAGCAUGGAAAGGGGAGGUGAAGAUUCAAUAGAAAAGAAAAGAAGUAGGCUAGUUUCUAGAUCCUCAGGAGAAAAGAAAGGAUGUAGCAAUCUGCUCAGAGAAAUUUCUAGAAUGUUCUAAUGGCAUAAAGACCCAUGCACCCUAUCACUGUACAGUCAAAGUAAGGACAGGAUUCAGUAAUGAAUCUCAUUAGCUGAUAAGAACUAAGAUUUUUUGGUUUUGAUUCUUACAUAUAUAUAACAAUCAAGUACGUACAACUCAGGUACAUAUGCUACAAGUAGGAAGCAAUAAAUGCCUUUUAUUCUAAAUAUGCCACAGAAGAAAAAAGAAAUAUGUGAUGAUACACCUCUAUUCCCUUACAUUAAAUUUUAAAUAAACAGAGUUGAGUGCUAGAGUACUUUGUAAUUACUUUAAAUUUUUAAAAAAGUUUAUACAUAGGUCACAAAAAACAAAAGAGUAAGACCCACUUAGAAGAAAAAUGUCUAUUAUCUGCUCACAUUGGUGCUUAAAGGUAAAAAAAAAACAAAAAAAAACCAACUGUGUAAAUUCCUAGAAGCUCCCUUAUAGUAUACUGGUUUUCUUUCCUCCCUCCCUCCCUCCUUCCCUUUGUUCCUUCCAUUCUUUUUCUUUUUAAAGAACAAAGCCUUCAUUGUAGCUCACAUUACUUGAGCAUAUGGGUCAACUGUGCCUCUGUUCUAGGUCUGUCCUCCAGAACCCAGGCAGGUGGAACUGCUCUUUUCUUGCACAUUGUUGGUUUUGUGGCAGACCAAAGGAGGCUCAUCAGUGACUAGGGAGACACACACCACCUCAGGAAGAGGCAGAAAGUAUUUAGAUCCACAAUACAAUCUAGCACACCCUCCUUGGACUACAGCAGCUGAGGACACAUUCUCCAUUCGAUGGUUAGAUGACCACCUUGGCAAGAUUCCAGCCACACUGAGUUAUGCAGGCAUUCAAGAGCACAUCCCUGUUUGCCUUCUAAACCAUUUACUUAAAGGAUUUAAACAAGUGCAGCUCAGGAGGUGUGGUGUCCAUCGCCACCUAUAAUCUAUUUCACUUUAUCAAUCUAGUUUUAAUACUACUGACCACAGAGGAAGAAAUCUAAAGACAAGGAAUGUUUCACUGGUAGUUUGGGGGGGAAGUUCUUUACUCCCAGCCCACUCAUGGGGGUGGGACAGAAGGAGGGUUGUGUCAGCAUGAUCACUGUGAUGGCUUUUCACACAAUGCCACAGUUACCCACGAUGCCACCUGCUCAGGCUAACACUCCUUCACUGUGAACUGACUGACACUGGUGAGCACAAUACUACACUCCCAAUUCUUUUUUUCUUUCCCAUUUCCCUCCCCUCUCUUCAACUCUUCUUCCCCUCCCCAUCUGCACAAGCUUUGUUUCCAUUUUUUCCUUUCAUUCUCUUUUUUCCUUUUCCCUGCUUUCCAUUCUCCCUUCUCCCCCUCCCUUGUUCCUCUUCUCAUUUGAAUAUAUUUUUCCUACGUCCCAACAUCUAUCCUCCAUUCUGGUACUUAUUUACCCUUUGCUUUUCUUACAUAAGAGAAAGAAUGUGAUAUUUAAACCUUACACCCCAAUUCUAUGGAACAAUUUUUACUUAGUUCACAUCCAUGCUUUGUAAGUGCAACUUGACACUCAACCAUUUCCUAAACUGGAUUCUUCCUGUUACCACAUUAAGGUAUAAGGCUCAGGGAGGCCAGUAAAGGUCAAAGUUGCAGAAAUAAACAUGAAUAAAUGCAGUGAUAUUCACAGUACACUCUAGUGCAGGUUCUGAAAAGCUAAAGGCGCCAUAGGGGUGUGAGAGGAGAACCCCAGGUUAGGUAUCAGGAGAUAAGCACUUAUGAACCAUUACGUUCCCAAGUCCACCGUCCUUCAUGAAUGAUACCAUCAUUCUCCUAGGCAGUUGGGUCCAAAAGAUGAGCAAGUUCUGACUGCAUCGUCUAUUUAUAUAACUCACAUAACUUAUUAUGUCCCUCCUGCAUAUCCCAGGGUUGUGCUAGACCCUUGAAUCUACUUCUUCUGAUCAAAAUAGCAACUCUACUUUUUAAGUAGCAAGGGAAUUAAUUCCAUUCAAAUUGAAAAAAAAAGAUAGCAAAUCAAAUCAAAAGCAGGCAAGUCAAACACAAGACAAAUUUCAAAGCCUAUCUGUUAUUCAUGAUGCUGUGUGCCUUCUAUUGCUUUCUUCAUAGCCCCUUUUGCCCCAAUGAGAAUUUUAAAUCUCUUUUUAGUGGAUACAGUUGAAUUUAUCUUUGAUAUCCUUCAUGCAUGCAGCACAGUACUCUAUGCACAGAAGAGAGUCAAUGACUGCUAAACAAAUAAAAGGCCACCUGAAGUCUUCUGAUCUCUGUGGGCCCCAAUUCUUCAAGUAUAAAAAUGGGAGUAUCAAAGACUCUGAUCACAAAAAUGUGCAGAGAUCAAUUUAUUUCUAGACAGUUGCUGAGCACUUACAUGCCAGGCACUGUUCUAAGUACCUCAGCGAUCCUUAUAAAAAGCCUAUGAGAGGUUAUUAAUCCCUUUUUAUAGCUGAAAAAGCUUAGGAACCAUUAAUUUGUACUGAAGGGUAAAAAAAAAACUUUAGGUGGGGUGUCAAGACCUGAACCCAAAGAGACUGGUUCUAGAGCCCAUAUUCUUAACCAAUAUUGUUUCUGCGAAGAUUGGGGGGUCCAGGAAAAUCAGCUGAAGAACCAUUAGAAAUAGUAAAAACAGUCUGGGGAUGUAGCUCAGCAGCGCAGCACCUGCCUGGUAAGUGUGAGGCCCUGAGUUUGAUUCCUGGCACCCCUCCCACAAAAAAAUAGUAAAAACUAUUGGGAUGUGGUAGGAAACAGAAUUAGAAUACAAAAAAUAUGGCUGAUUACCUCUAAUUAUAUUUAUGCAUACAAUAUAUAUUUAUACUAUGCAUAAAAUAAAUGCUUUCACUUAAUCAAUCAAAAAUUAAUAGAAUAAAAUAUCUCAAUCAAAUUGGAAAAGCAAAUACUCAACUAAAAUACCUAGGAAUAAAUUUAAUAUGCAGAAUAUACAUGUAUACUACAAAAUUCUACUAAAGAACAUUUUAGAAACUCAUUUGUAGGAAAAUGGAUGCACCUGAGACCAUAUUGUUAAGUGAAGUAAAUUAGAUGGACAAGUUUAAAUAUAUCGUUUCUCUUGCAUGAGAAACCCAAAAUGUAUACAGACUAAAAGAAAAGACAGAUAAUAAAAAAUAGGGAGAUAGAUCUUUUGCAAAAGGGAAGGGAACCAAGAGAUACAGGGAGGGGUAGGGAAGAAAAAGAAAUAAGAUAUAUUUGUUGCAUGUGUCACAUCCCUUCAAGGAAUAUAAUUAUUAUGUACUCCAAAUAUGUACCAAUAAUGUAAAAAUUAAAGAAGUCAUUAAGAAAUGGAGAAGAACAUUUUAUCACCUGACAGACUCAGAAAUAGAAAGAAGUGGCUUUCUCCAAAAUUAACCUCUAUAGUUACCAUACUCUAGAUUAAAUUUACUUCAAGAGGGAAUGGUACAGUUACAAAUGAACAUCAUCAUAUAAACUGCAGUCUUUGGCGGUAAUAUUGCGGCGGUACUUACACACUUUUUUUGUUUUGUUUUGUUUUGUUUUUGAGACGAGAUCUCAGUAUGUAGUUCAGGCUGGCCUUGAACUGGAAGCAGUCCUCCUACCUCACCCCUCUCAAGUGCUGGAAUAACAGGCGUGCCCCACCAUGUCCAGCAAAUUUUAUUUUUGUGUCUCCUUUAACACAGCAAUUCUACUUGUAAAAAAUACCUUGCAGAAAUUCCAACACAGACUACUAAAAAUGGACAAGGAAUUUUCAUAUCAGUUUCGUUUCUAAUAGAAAGAAAAAGGGAGAAAGGGGAUUUGGGGAGGAAAAGGGAAAGAAAGGAGGAAAAUGGAGAGGGAUGAGAAGAGAGAAAAAAGGAAAAGGCAACUAACUGCAGGUAAACAACAUUCGGGUACAGGGAACAGAUUUUUAGAUAAUCAUACAAGGGUAUGCUAUGCAAACUUAAAAAGAAAGGGAAGCUUUUAAAUAUACUGACAGAAAGAAGGAGGAGGUGGAACAGGAAGAGGAGGAGGAGUCAGCACAGGCUUAGCUAGGUCUUUUCUACAGACUGAAUGUGUCCCCCCCCAAAUUCCUAUGUUAAACGCUAAUCCACAAGGCUAUGAUAUUCAGAGAUGGGACUUUUGGAACAUAAUUAAAUCAUGGGGGUGGAUCCCUCAAGGAGGACUAGUACUCUCUUAUGAAGAAACAGGAGACAGCUUGCUUCCUCUCUAUGCUAUACUUCCUGUGAGGACACAGAAGGAAUCCUACCCUUUGGUCUGAAACCAGGAAGAGGAUUUUCACCAGAACCCUAACCAUGCCAGCACUCUGAUCUUGAACUUCCAGCCUCCAGAAGUAUGAGAAAUAAAUAUUUCUGUUGUUAAAGCCACCAAUUUUGUUAAUCUAUUAGAGCAAUCCAAACAGACUUGACAGUCUCUGGGAAACUCCAAGCUAUGUCAAUUCAAACUGUAGAAAAAUGUGCAUAAUAAGAUCAACUUAUUUUUUAAUGUGGAGUAUAAUUUGGUAAAGGAGAGAUGAAGAGUAUGGAAGAUGGAGGUUUUCUGUCUUGCCUUCUACAUUUCUGCAAAGAACAUGUAUCACUUUUAGUAUAUGUGCUGCCAAAGCAAGUACGAACAUGUGUUACUUUUAGGAUUGUUACUAAGCAUUCAUUUCAACACUACUGAGUCUUGCGCCAGACACUGGGAUGGUGAAUGUGACUGGCAGGGAGCCCAAGGCCAUUUUUUAAAAAUCCCUAAUUUAAUUGCUUCAGUUAUGAUGUAUUAAAUUAUCAUAUAUAUGCAUCUGUUUGUGGAUCUUUGCAACUCUGUGUAUUUUGGCGCCAGGACCAUGCUAUUUAAAUUACUGAAGCUUUAUAACAGUUUUUGAUACCUGAUUAGGCAGAUUCUCUCUAAACCCAGCAUCAUAACUGUCCUUUCUAAAAAUUCAACUUUAUUGAGGUAUAUUUUACGUACAAUAAAAUGCACCAUGCAAUUGUAUAUUUCAAUGAGAUUUGUCAAAUUUAUAUAACCACUUAACCACCAUCACAACUUAAAAAUUGAUAAACGUAUUCAAACAAUCACCUGGAAUUAAAAUUAGUAAAAACCA